rnacentral:rRNA from 1 species
ACUUAAAUUGAAGAGUUUGAUCAUGGCUCAGAUUGAACGCUGGCGGCAGGCCUAACACAUGCAAGUCGAACGGUAGCACAGAGAGCUUGCUCUCGGGUGACGAGUGGCGGACGGGUGAGUAAUGUCUGGGAAACUGCCUGAUGGAGGGGGAUAACUA